rnacentral:sRNA from 1 species
ACCCCUGUGAACAUACCACUUGUUGCCUCGGCGGAUCAGCCCGCUCCCGGUAAAACGGGACGGCCCGCCAGAGGACCCCUAAACUCUGUUUCUAUAUGUAACUUCUGAGUAAAACCAUAAAUAAAUCAAAACUUUCAACAACGGAUCUCUUGGUUCUGGCAUCGAUGAAGAACGCAGCAAAAUGCGAUAAGUAAUGUGAAUUGCAGAAUUCAGUGAAUCAUCGAAUCUUUGAACGCACAUUGCGCCCGCCAGUAUUCUGGCGGGCAUGCCUGUUCGAGCGUCAUUUCAACCCUCAAGCACAGCUUGGUGUUGGGACUCGCGUUAAUUCGCGUUCCUCAAAUUGAUUGGCGGUCACGUCGAGCUUCCAUAGCGUAGUAGUAAAACCCUCGUUACUGGUAAUCGUCGCGGCCACGCCGUUAAACCCCAACUUCUGAAUGUUGACCUCGGAUCAGGUAGGAAUACCCGCUGAACUUAAGCAU